rnacentral:rRNA from 1 species
AGUUUUUUGGUUUUUUAUAAAAAAUGUUUUCUGCUCGGUGUUUUUUAACAGCCGCGGUAUCCUGACCGUGCAAAGGUAGCGUAAUCAUUUGUUUCAUAAUUGGGGACUAGUAUGAAUGGAAAAACAAGAUUUUUGCUUUAUUUUUAAAAAGACUUUAAUUUGCUUUUUUAGUGAAGAAGCUAAAAUAUGAGUAAAAGACAAGAAGACCCUUUUGAGUUUUAUUUUUUUAUGGUUUAAUAUUUAUAGAAAAAUUUGGUUGGGGCGACCGAGGAAGACUAAUCUUCCUUUAGUAUUUUGAUCCAAGGAUUUUGAUUGAUAGAUUAAAUUACCAAAGGGAUAACAGCGUUAUUUUUUUUGAGAGUUCUUAUCAAAAAAUAAGAUUGCGACCUCGAUGUUGACUUAUAAUUUCCUUUAGGUGUAGCUGCUGCAAAGGUGGGUCUGUUCGACCUUUAAAAUUUU